AGAGUUUGAUCCUGGCUCAGGAUGAACGCUGGCGGCGUGCCUAAUACAUGCAAGUCGAGCGAACAGAUGAGAAGCUUGCUUCUCUGAUGUUAGCGGCGGACGGGUGAGUAACACGUGGGUAACCUACCUAUAAGACUGGGAUAACUCCGGGAAACCGGGGCUAAUACCGGAUAAUAUAUUGAACCGCAUGGUUCAAUGUUGAAAGACGGUUUCGGCUGUCACUUAUAGAUGGACCCGCGCCGUAUUAGCUAGUUGGUAAGGUAACGGCUUACCAAGGCAACGAUACGUAGCCGACCUGAGAGGGUGAUCGGCCACACUGGAACUGAGACGCGGUCCAGACUCCUACGGGAGGCAGCAGUAGGGAAUCUUCCGCAAUGGGCGAAAGCCUGACGGAGCAACGCCGCGUGAGUGAUGAAGGUCUUAGGAUCGUAAAACUCUGUUGUUAGGGAAGAACAAAUUUGUUAGUAACUGAACAAGUCUUGACGGUACCUAACCAGAAAGCCACGGCUAACUACGUG
rnacentral:rRNA from 1 species